rnacentral:rRNA from 1 species
UACGUAGGGGGCUAGCGUUGUCCGGAAUCAUUGGGCGUAAAGCGCGCGUAGGCGUCCCGGUAAGUCCGCUGUGAAAGUCAAAGGCUCAACCUUUGAAUGUCAGCGGAUACUGCCGGGCUAGAGUCCGGAAGAGGCGAGUGGAAUUCCUGGUGUAGCGGUGGAAUGCGCAGAUAUCAGGAGGAACACCAACGGCGAAGGCAGCUCGCUGGGACGGUACUGACGCUGAGGCGCGAAAGCGUGGGGAGCGAACAGG